GACGAACGCUGGCGGCGUGCUUAACACAUGCAAGUCGAGCGGAGCGGCGAACGGGUGAGUAACGCGUUAGUAUCUGCCCCCCUCCCUGGGAUAACAGUUGGAAACGGCUGCUAAUACCGGAUAGUGGGGGAUGACUUGCGUCCUAUCGGCUUGUUGGUGGGGUAGUGGCCGACAAAGGCGACGACGGGUUGCCGGCCUGAGAGGGCGACCGGCCACAUUGGGCUGGGGUACGGCCCAAAGUUCUGCGGGAGGCAGCAGUGGGGAAUAUUGCACAAUGGGGGAAGCUCUGAUGCAGCAGGGCGCGUGCGGGAUGACGGCCAUCGGGUUGUAAACCGCUUUCAGCCAUGACGCGGUAGUGGCAGAAGAAGCACCGGCUAACUCCGUGCCAGCAGCCGCGGUAAUAC
rnacentral:rRNA from 1 species